GCUAGGUCAACUUCUAAACAUGUAUAUCAUUACCUGCAUCAUAAGAACCUAAUGAGCUAAUAGCUCAGCAAGUUGAAACUGAUGUAAUAGCAAUAUAUCACAUAACACGUUAUUCUCUCAACAUACACAAUAUCACAUAUAACUUCAUUCAUGAUCUUUUCUUUUGAAAUCCUUCUCUUUUUCGGGUACCCUUGAAGUGUGGUACUUGACUGAUAGCAAUAGGCUUUGGUUUUCGGAACCUGUUCAUCAUAUUUGGCCAAUAGAUAAUACGGGGUUUCCAUACCGGCCUUUCGACCUCAGGUAUUAGCCGUAUUUUAUUUCAUUAAUUGUGGGUUUUCCAUACUGGUCUUUCGACCUCAGGUAUUUGCCACCAUGUGUUGGGUCCGCCGGUCCCUCCCGCGUCCCUUGCCUACCCGACCAUCAAU
rnacentral:lncRNA from 1 species